AGUGUAGGCGGUUGCCUAAGUCGGAUGUGAAAGCCCCGGGCUUAACCUGGGAAUUGCAUUCGAUACUGGGUGGCUAGAGUUUGGUAGAGGUAAGUGGAAUUCCGGGUGUAGCGGUGAAAUGCGUAGAUAUCCGGAGGAACAUCAGUGGCGAAGGCGGCUUACUGGACUAAAACUGACGCUGAGGCUCGAAAGCGUGGGUAGCAAACA
rnacentral:rRNA from 1 species